GGACCUAUAGCUCAGUUGGUUAGAGCGCGUCAUUGACAUUGACGAGGUCACAGAUUCGAGUUCUGUUAGGUCCACCA
rnacentral:tRNA from 1 species